rnacentral:rRNA from 1 species
GACGAACGCUGGCGGCGUGCUUAACACAUGCAAGUCGAACGGGCUCUGUCUGGCUGUGUGCUGGGUGGGGUUAGUGGCGAACGGGUGAGUAAUACGUGAGUAACCUGCCCUCUUCUUUGGGAUAAGCCUUGGAAACGGGGUCUAAUACUGGAUAUUCCUGUCUGGUCGCAUGGCUGGGUGGGGAAAGUUUUUUUCGGUGGGGGAUGGGCUCGCGGCCUAUCAGCUUGUUGGUGGGGUGAUGGCCUACCAAGGCGUCGACGGGUAGCCGGCCUGAGAGGGGGACCGGGCACACUGGGACUGGGAUACGGCCAAGACGCCUACGGGAGGCAGCAGUGGGGGAGAGUGGGGAGUGGGCGCGAGCCUGAUGCAGCGAGGCCGCGUGGAGGAUGACGGCUUUCGGGUUGUAAACCUCUUGCGUCGGGGGACAAGGCUCUGCUUGGUGGUGGGGUUGAGGGUACCCGGUGAAGAAGCGCCGGCUAACUACGUG